ACGGAGGAUGCAAGCGUUAUCCGGAUUUAUUGGGUUUAAAGGGUCCGCAGGCGGACUUGUAAGUCAGGGGUGAAAUCCGGCAGCUUAACUGUCGAACUGCCUUUGAUACUGCAAGUCUUGAGUGAAAAUGAAGCAGCUGGAAUGUGUGGUGUAGCGGUGAAAUGCGUAGAUAUCGGGAGGAACACCGGUAGCGAAGGCGGGUUGCUAGUUCUCAACUGACGCUGAGGGGCGAAAGCGUGGGGAGCAAACAG
rnacentral:rRNA from 1 species